GAUGGCCUUUGCAUUGCGGGUACAUUCGUUGUCCUCCGACGUUACAAUUCACCGCUGCAAGCCUUUUGUGCUUGCUCUCCUUCGGUGUCAGUCUUGAGGCUCCAAGGGAUCUCGUGCAAGCAUGUCUUCGAACAUACACUAGAAGGUGGCAAAUGCUGAACCGGUAUUUUGUAGCGACGCCUUUUCCGAUUCUAUGCCUUUUCAGGCUUUUCGCGCUUGGCCAGUGGUCAGAGCGACGGUCUGCCCACAUUAUCAACGGGAUCAGGCGGCCGUGUGUGGUGGAUGAUAAGAAUAGCAUAGAAUAAGGCAUAAGGCAUCACUACAAUAUAGCGGCCCUGCAUGGUCUCUAAAAUAAGAUAACUCAGAAAAGGCGUCUUGCGUUUAGCCGAAGAUACAAGCCUUAUCGGCCCAACGCAAGCAAAGUUCUCUACACCACCUUAUCGUUCCGCACAUGCGCUGUUAAUUUACAUGGCACUGGUUUUCCGUGCCAGUAUGCGAAGUAAAUGCUGUUGUGAGUAAACGCCUACGACGAAUCCUCUUGCUGAGUGCACUGUAAUGGCGACCACCUGUCGGCAAAAGACUAACCGCCGGCUGUUCCAAGACCGCGACUCGAAAAGCGCAAGAUCGAGCUCUGUGGACAGCGGCCUGUGGGCAAUUUACAACGAGGUUAGCGCAACCGCGGAUCAGUCAACGCGCGCUUCGACGUCGACCGCGAGCGAAGCGCCCAGUUUGUGUGAGCUACCCGCUCCGACGCCACCGCGACCAAGUCGUAGGUCGCUUCCCGCGCAACAAACGAAAUGCGCUUCUCAGCUGGCCAGGGAUCCCUCGAAAUCCCCGUCAACGCUCAAGAACAAGGUUAUCGACAUGUUCAAGCGCAAUAGUGGACGAGAGGAGGAGGAACUGGAGCUGUCGUCCACGUACGUGACAGGCGAUCUGUGGACACCUACCUGCCGAGCCCGGAGUGUUCAACAUCGGCCACUGCCAGAACGUUUUCCAGAUUUCUUCAGACGCUCCUUCAGACGAAAAUCCUACCGUGUACAGAAUCCUCGCUCACAUUUGCCGUAGACGUUACCGUGCUCAAAAGGCAAAAAAAAAAGUGUGCACUUCGCUUCCAAGCUCAAGCUUCUCAACAUUGUAACACUGUGUAUCGACUACAUAUUACUGGUGUCUAUAUUAGGCACUCAGAAGGCCACAUAAAAGUGGCCCUUUUCGAAGACGAUCGGUGUUCAAAACGUUUCGCUACUGAGUUGAGCUAAUGGCAAAAAAACAAAGCAAUUAAGACAGUUCAUUUUGCCUAGCACUCGAUAUUUGAAGGUAUGACCUACGCCUGCAGCUAAUAGCCCAGUUCCUAAAGCACAGCACCCACGUCUGUUAGCAUCACGGUGAAAUACUUACUCUGCGCAAAUGUACAUAUCUGUGUUUAUUUUUAUGCACGCCAGUCAGUCCGGUAUGUUUAAUACCCCUUGCUGACGAGUCUUACAAAAACCCACGGAUUGUGCCAGCGUGCAGCGCGCAUUUUUGAUUCCGCAAGCCACGCAUGACUGCGUUUAAUUGUUAGACCAUCGUUAUGUACAUUUGUAUUGUCACUUUUACAUGACAAUGUAAAGCGUGCUUACCUCAAUAAAACACACGAAAACUAUUACCAGUUCUCCUAUUUAUUGCAGCAGACUCAAUGCUCAUAUAGGAUUGCUCAUACAAGGAACUUGUGGUUGCGCAGAAGCUCAGCAAAAUAAUACAAUGCCACUCUGUAUCAGUUGCAUAUCCGCAGCUUGAACCCCGAAAAGCCUGAGUUGAUGAGUGCUGCAUUGAAUACAAAAUUAGGAAUCGGCGUAAAUACCUUGUUUUUCUUUUAUCUUUUGCGUUGCUUUCUUUAGUAUUCAUUCUUAUUAUGCGUGCCUUCUUUUUUUUUAAUCCAGCCACCAGUGGUAUCUAAUAAAGAGUUUUCCACCAGCGUGGUAAUCACCGUA